rnacentral:lncRNA from 1 species
UUUUCUCUAUUGUCUCUCAUAUAUAGUUUUCUUGCAUUUUUUUUACAUUGAGGACAAUGCAAUGUUUAAGUUGGGGGGAGGAAAAUAUUUUGAUUAAAAAAAAACAAAAAAAAACAUGUUUUUGCAUUUGAUUUAUUCUAUUACUUUCUUUUCUGAGCAAAUGCACAUGUAUUUUCAUAUUGAGUGUGUGCAACUAUUAAGGCAAGGAACACAUGCAUACUAUGACUGAUCAGAGACCUAUUAUUAGAUCCCCACA